CCGAGUUUACAACUCCCAAACCCCUGUGAACAUACCUUAACGUUGCUUCGGCGGACAACCCUCGCCUAACCGCGAGGGCCCGCCAGAGGACCCCAAACCCAACUUUAUGUUUUUUGUCUUGCAAAACGAACUUCUGAGUGGAUUUUAUAAAUCAAAUCA
rnacentral:misc_RNA from 1 species